UGAACGCUAGCUACAGGCUUAACACAUGCAAGUCGAGGGGAAACGACAUCGAAAGCUUGCUUUUGAUGGGCGUCGACCGGCGCACGGGUGAGUAACGCGUAUCCAACCUGCCCAUCACUUGGGGAUAACCUUGCGAAAGUAAGACUAAUACCCAAUGAUAUCCCACGAAGGCAUCCGAAUGGGAUUAAAGAUUUAUCGGUGAUGGAUGGGGAUGCGUCUGAUUAGCUUGUUGGCGGGGUAACGGCCCACCAAGGCGACGAUCAGUAGGGGUUCUGAGAGGAAGGUCCCCCACAUUGGAACUGAGACACGGUCCAAACUCCUACGGGAGGCAGCAGUGAGGAAUAUUGGUCAAUGGGCGAGAGCCUGAACCAGCCAAGUAGCGUGCAGGAAGACGGCCCUAUGGGUUGUAAACUGCUUUUAUAAGGGAAUAAAGUGAGUCUCGCGAGACUUUUUGCAUGUACCUUAUGAAUAAGGACCGGCUAAUUCCGUGCCAGCAGCCGCGGUAAUACGGAAGGUCCGGGCGUUAUCCGGAUUUAUUGGGUUUAAAGGGAGCGUAGGCCGGAGAUUAAGCGUGUUGUGAAAUGUAGAGGCUCAACCUCUGCACUGCAGCGCGAACUGGUCUUCUUGAGUACGCACAACGUGGGCGGAAUUCGUGGUGUAGCGGUGAAAUGCUUAGAUAUCACGAAGAACUCCGAUUGCGAAGGCAGCUCACGGGAGCGCAACUGACGCUGAAGCUCGAAAGUGCGGGUAUCGAACAGGAUUAGAUACCCUGGUAGUCCGCACGGUAAACGAUGGAUGCCCGCUGUUGGCCUGAAUAGGUCAGCGGCCAAGCGAAAGCAUUAAGCAUCCCACCUGGGGAGUACGCCGGCAACGGUGCAACUCAAAGGAAUUGACGG
rnacentral:rRNA from 2 species